CAGUAGCCACGGGAAUACAGAGGGUGCGAGCGUUAAUCGGAUUUACUGGGCGUAAAGCGUGCGUAGGCGGCUAAUUGAGUCGGAUGUGAAAUCCCCGAGCUUAACUUGGGAAUUGCAUUCGAUACUGGUUAGCUAGAGUGUGGGAGAGGAUGGUAGAAUUCCAGGUGUAGCGGUGAAAUGCGUAGAGAUCUGGAGGAAUACCGAUGGCGAAGGCAGCCAUCUGGCCUAAUACUGACGCUGAGGUACGAAAGCAUGGGGAGCAAACAGGAUUAGAUACCCGAGUAGUCCCUGUCUCUUAUAC
rnacentral:rRNA from 1 species